rnacentral:rRNA from 1 species
GAUGAACGCUAGCGACAGGCCUAACACAUGCAAGUCGAGGGGCAGCACGGUGUAGCAAUACACGGGUGGCGACCGGCGCACGGGUGAGUAACGCGUAUGCAACCUGCCUACUACAAGGGGAUAACCCGUUGAAAGACGGACUAAUACCCUAUAACACAGGGAAUCCGCAUGGAUAUAUUUGUUAAAGAUUUAUCGGUAGUAGAUGGGCAUGCGUUCCAUUAGCUUGUUGGUGAGGUAACGGCUCACCAAGGCAACGAUGGAUAGGGGAACUGAGAGGUUGAUCCCCCACACUGGAGCUGAGACACGGUCCAGACUCCUACGGGAGGCAGCAGUGAGGAAUAUUGGUCAAUGGACGAGAGUCUGAACCAGCCAAGUCGCGUGAAGGAAGACGGCCCUACGGGUUGUAAACUUCUUUUGUAAGGGAAUAAAUAGUCUUACGCGCUAAGACGUUGCAGGUACCUUACGAAUAAGGAUCGGCUAACUCCGUG